rnacentral:rRNA from 1 species
CCACAUUGGGACUGAGACACGGCCCAGACUCCUACGGGAGGCAGCAGUGGGGAAUAUUGCACAAUGGGGGAAACCCUGAUGCAGCGACGCCGCGUGGAGGAAGAAGGUCUUCGGAUUGUAAACUCCUGUUGUUGAGGAAGAUAAUGACGGUACUCAACAAGGAAGUGACGGCUAACUACGUGCCAGCAGCCGCGGUAAAACGUAGGUCACAAGCGUUGUCCGGAAUUACUGGGUGUAAAGGGAGCGCAGGCGGGAGAACAAGUUGGAAGUGAAAUCCAUGGGCUCAACCCAUGAACUGCUUUCAAAACUGUUUUUCUUGAGUAGUGCAGAGGUAGGCGGAAUUCCCGGUGUAGCGGUGGAAUGCGUAGAUAUCGGGAGGAACACCAGUGGCGAAGGCGGCCUACUGGGCACCAACUGACGCUGAGGCUCGAAAGUGUGGGUAGCAAACAGGAUUAGAUACCCUGGUAGUCCACACCGUAAACGAUGAUUACUAGGUGUUGGAGGAUUGACCCCUUCAGUGCCGCAGUUAACACAAUAAGUAAUCCACCUGGGGAGUACGACCGCAAGGUUGAAACUCAAAGGAAUUGACGGGGGCCCGCACAAGCAGUGGAGUAUGUGGUUUAAUUCGACGCAACGCGAAGAACCUUACCAAGUCUUGACAUCCCUUGACGAACAUAGAAAUAUGUUUUCUCUUCGGAGCAAGGAGACAGGUGGUGCAUGGUUGUCGUCAGCUCGUGUCGUGAGAUGUUGGGUUAA